AUCGAGUUUCACCAUGUUGGCCAGGUUGGUCCUGAGCUCCUGACCUCAGGUGAUCUGCCUGCUUUGGCCUCCCAAAGUGUUGGGAUUACAGGCGUAAGCCAUCGCGCACAGCCCAAAUUUAUCGAUUUUAUUUGUGUUAAGAGAGCUGCGUGCCUAGGAAAGUAGGUUUGUAUCUAGCAAUCUGUGUACCAGGAUGACUUAGCCAAUUGGAUUCUUUGCCCCUAGCCACAAGAGAAAAAAAGAACAGAGGAAAAUGUCUUGUUUGGAAGUGGCUGCUUGUUUUUGACUGGGCAAAUUUUAGCCCAGGUGCUAGUAAUUUGUGGCUAUGUUUAAAGAGAGGCAGGGGGAGGGAAGGGGAAGGAGGAGGAGGCUUCUCGGCUCCUCUGGAAUUCCGUGGUGUCAUUAUCGUGUGGGCACUCUGGGCAUCCGGCAUGAUCUGCAGUGACGAGCCGUGCAGUACCAGGAAUGGCUCUGAGCUACUGGAGGGAGGGAUGGUGGUCACCGCAUGCUGAAACCACAUCCUGCCCUUCAGCUUUGGCUCAUGCUAGUUCUGGAGGCAACGAAUAGGAGACAAAUCUAGUUGCAAGCAAUAUCGUAUAGCAAAUCUCAGAGCGGAUAUCAACCAAAGUUUGAAGUGGUGUGUGCAAGACGAAUGGGCAGAAGAGAGAUUUCCCUCUUAUCUCACUGCUCUCGUAUCAAGAGCAGGCUUCUUACGUCUUCUUCCCUACAGUUUAUUUUAGCAUAGCAUUCAUAGUUUUAAAAAUCCAUCAGUUCACGUUACUUCUUUGCUUAAAAUCCUCAAAUGGCUUCUCCUUGCGCUUAGGAAAAAACUCAAGCUCCUUACCAUGACUGGCAAGGUUCUCCCUGAUCUGGUUUCUACCCCUUUUCCAGCCUAGUUUUGCACAAAUUCACUCUGCUCCGGCUACACAGGUUAUUCGUCUCUCGAAUAGGCCAAGCUUAUUCUCACCUCUGGGCCUUUGCCUCUGCCACAUCUUUACAUGCUCGGCUCCAUCCCAUCCCUCAGGUCUCAGUUCAAACGUGGCCUGCCCCGGGCUCAGAGGGCCCUUCCCUGGCCAUCUUAUGCAAAAACCUCCCUGUUGCCAUCUUCACCUUACUAUGGUUUCAUUGUUCUUCAUUGUUGCAUUUAUGCAUAUCUGAAUUGGUCUUGUUCACUUACUUGCUGAUAGGCUAAUUAGGAUGGAACCCUCAAGACAGCAAGUGUUGUCCUGUUUCCCACUCUACCCCCAGCUUGGCACAUGGUAAGCACUCAACAAAUAGUGUUUUUUAAAACAUACAUUUGUCUUUUUGAAUCAAAGAGUGUUGUAGCUGGAAGGGACUCAGGAAACAGUUUACCCGAAUUUCCUCCUGCUAUAGAUGAGGUGGCUCAUGAUGGCCAAAUGACACAUCAAGGUCAAUGGUGGACCAUCUGGCUGGUCAGGCUGAUAUCUAUAUGGAGACUAGUUCCAGACUGAUGCCCCAGGAGUGGCAUGGGCCUAGGAGUAAAUUAUUUAUAAUGCAAACAUAUCUCAAACACUUUCCAGAAGGGCAAGCAGCCUGAGAUCUGGAGGGACAGUAAACACUUGGGCUUUCAGAAGCAUCAACAAAAAUAGCAGCUUCCUCUACCUGUUAGUUUAAAAGGACAAAACCACAAGGCUGCUGCCUAAGCAUGCUCUAUCAUUCUCAUACAGAAUUGUUAAGAAUGAGAACACAAUUUAUCCCCAAAUUCCUUAUCUCGUAUAACAGUGGGGUGUUACAGUAUGAAGUAUGUGUCUGACUGGAAAAUCUGCCAGAGUUAUCAAAGGCAGAAACGAGUCCCAGCCUCAAGCAGCCUUGCCAUGCCUCACAUGCUCAAUACCCAAGUUGGGUGCCCAUCUAUAGGAAGGUUGCGUCUUCUAUAAUAAACCUUUAGUUAGACUAGGCAGUGUCUCUCUCUGCUCUGAGUGCUGGGUACUUCCAAGACCCUUAUUUACUCAAUGAAUAACACAGAUAAAAAACCUGGAAAGUUUUGUUCUGACUUUGAGCUUGAACACUGACAGGUUGAAAGAGAAAAAAAUUUCAGCGACAUUAAUAAUCUGCAGGCAUGUCAAGAUUGGAUAAAUAUUAUUUGCAAGUGAAACAGCUCUCUUUUAACAGAGGGAGUUAAAAUAAUAAGGAGAGCCAAGUUUACAUGCAUUAAUUGUAUUCUCAGCAGAGAGAGACUUGCCUCUUCAUCUUUUACCC
rnacentral:lncRNA from 10 species